rnacentral:rRNA from 1 species
UACGUAGGGUGCAAGCGUUGUCCGGAAUUAUUGGGCGUAAAGAGCUCGUAGGCGGUUCGUCGCGUCGGCUGUGAAAACCCGGAGCUCAACUCCGGGCCUGCAGUCGAUACGGGCGGACUGGAGUUCGGCAGGGGAGACUGGAAUUCCUGGUGUAGCGGUGAAAUGCGCAGAUAUCAGGAGGAACACCGGUGGCGAAGGCGGGUCUCUGGGCCGUAACUGACGCUGAGGAGCGAAAGCGUGGGGAGCAAACAGG